UACAGAGGUCCCAAGCGUUGUUCGGAUUCACUGGGCGUAAAGGGUGCGCAGGUCGCAUGGUAAGUUUGGUGUGAAAGCUUCGGGCUUAACCCGGAAAUGGCAUUGAAAACUACUGUGCUGGAGGAUCGGAGGGGGGACUGGAAUUCUUGGUGUAGCAGUGAAAUGCGUAGAUAUCAAGAGGAACACCAGUGGCGAAGGCGAGUCCCUGGACGAUACCUGACACUGAGGCACGAAAGCCAAGGGAGCAAACAGG
rnacentral:rRNA from 1 species